GAUGAACGCUGGCGGCGUGCCUAAUACAUGCAAGUCGAGCGAACAGACGAGGAGCUUGCUCCUCUGACGUUAGCGGCGGACGGGUGAGUAACACGUGGAUAACCUACCUAUAAGACUGGGAUAACUUCGGGAAACCGGAGCUAAUACCGGAUAAUAUAUUCAACCGCAUGGUUCAAUAGUUCAAGACGGUUUUGCUGUCACUUAUAGAUGGAUCCGCGCCGCAUUAGCUAGUUGGUAAGGUAACGGCUUACCAAGGCGACGAUGCGUAGCCGACCUGAGAGGGUGAUCGGCCACACUGGAACUGAGACACGGUCCAGACUCCUACGGGAGGCAGCAGUAGGGAAUCUUCCGCAAUGGGCGAAAGCCUGACGGAGCAACGCCGCGUGAGUGAUGAAGGUCUUCGGAUCGUAAAACUCUGUUAUUAGGGAAGAACAAAUGUGUAAGUAACUAUGCACGUCUUGACGGUACCUAAUCAGAAAGCCACGGCUAACUACGUG
rnacentral:rRNA from 1 species